rnacentral:rRNA from 1 species
AACGACCGCUGGCGGCAGGCCUAACACAUGCAAGUCGAGCGCGGACUACGUUCCUAGCGGCGGACGGCAGAGUAACGCGGGGUAACGUGCCCUUUGCUUCGGAAUAUCCCUGUGAAAUUGGGAGUACUACCGGAUCCGCCCUUUAGGGGAAAGAUUUAUCGGCGAAGGAUCGGCCCGCGUUGGAUUAGGUAGUUGGUGGGGUAAUGGCCUACCAAGCCGACCACCCAUAGCUGGUUUGAGAGAAUGAUCAGCAACUCUGGGAAUGAGACACGACCCAAACUCCUACGGGAGGCAGAAGUGGGGAAUCGUAGACAAUGGGGGCAGCCCUGACCUAGCCAUGCCGCGUGAAAAAUGAAGGCCUUAGGGUUAUAAAGCUCUUUCAGCGGGGACGAUAAGGACGGUGCCAGCUGAAGAAUCCACGGCUAACUACUUG